rnacentral:rRNA from 1 species
UACGUAGGGGGCAAGCGUUGUCCGGAAUCAUUGGGCGUAAAGCGCGUGUAGGCGGUUCGGUAAGUCUGCUGUGAAAGUCCAGGGCUCAACCCUGGGAUGCCGGUGGAUACUGUCGGACUAGAGUCCGGAAGAGGAGAGUGGAAUUCCCGGUGUAGCGGUGAAAUGCGCAGAUAUCGGGAAGAACACCCGUGGCUAAGGCGGCUCUCUAGUACGGUACUGACGCUGAGACGCGAAAGCGUGGGGAGCGAACAGG